AACGAACGCUGGCGGCAUGCCUAACACAUGCAAGUCGAACGAGACCUUCGGGUCUAGUGGCGCACGGGUGCGUACCGCGUGGGAACCUGCCCUUAGGUUCGGAAUAACUCCCCGAAAGGGGUGCUAAUACCGGAUAAUGUCUUCGGACCAAAGAUUUAUCGCCUUUGGAUGGGCCCGCGUUGGAUUAGCUAGUUGGUAGGGUAAAAGCCUACCAAGGCGACGAUCCUUAGCUGGUCUGAGAGGAUGAUCAGCCACACUGGGACUGAGACACGGCCCAGACUCCUACGGGAGGCAGCAGUGGGGAAUAUUGGACAAGGGGCGAAAGCCUGAUCCAGCAAUGCCGCGUGAGUGAUGAAGGCCUUAGGGUUGUAAAGCUCUUUUACCCGGGAUGAUAAUGACAGUACCGGGAGAAUAAGCUCCGGCUAACUCCGUG
rnacentral:rRNA from 1 species